rnacentral:lncRNA from 1 species
AAAAUGACCUGGUUACAACACAAUAGCAAAGAGGAACGUUUGCAAAGAGCAAUGUCGCAUUGUCCUGUAGGUCCAAAGCAAAGUUUAUCUUUUGAAACUAUAAAGACACCAGAGUCUUAGAGCUCAUUUACUCAGGAUGCCGCUGAUUCCCAUCAAAUUUCUCCCAUCCUGACUGUCUGAUGGUUGCAGAAAGACCCAAAGAAACUGUAUACACCCCAAGGACACCCAAGGCUCAGCUACUGCAACCAAGAAGAGAUGAUACUCUGAACAUUGGUUG